GACGAACGCUGGCGGCGUGCUUAACACAUGCAAGUCGAACGGAAAGGCCCUGCUUUUGUGGGGUGCUCGAGUGGCGAACGGGUGAGUAACACGUGAGUAACCUGCCCUUGACUUUGGGAUAACUUCAGGAAACUGGGGCUAAUACCGGAUAGGAGCUCCUGCUGCAUGGUGGGGGUUGGAAAGUUUCGGCGGUUGGGGAUGGACUCGCGGCUUAUCAGCUUGUUGGUGGGGUAGUGGCUUACCAAGGCUUCGACGGGUAGCCGGCCUGAGAGGGUGACCGGCCACAUUGGGACUGCGAUACGGACCAGAAUCCUACGGGAGGCAGCAGUGGGGAAUAUUGCACAAUGGGCGGAAGCCUGAUGCAGCAACGCCGCGUGCGGGAUGACGGCCUUCGGGUUGUAAACCGCUUUCGCCUGUGACGAAGCGUGAGUGACGGUAAUGGGUAAAAAAGCCCCGGCUAACUACGUG
rnacentral:rRNA from 1 species